rnacentral:rRNA from 1 species
AUUGAACGCUGGCGGCAUGCCUUACACAUGCAAGUCGAACGGCAGCACGGGAGCAAUCCUGGUGGCGAGUGGCGAACGGGUGAGUAAUAUAUCGGAACGUGCCCAGUCGUGGGGGAUAACGUAGCGAAAGCUACGCUAAUACCGCAUACGAUCUAUGGAUGAAANCGGGGGAUCUUCGGACCUCGCGCCAUUAGAUGAGCCUAGGUCGGAUUAGCUAGUUGGUGAGGUAAUGGCUCACCAAGGCGACGAUCCGUAACUGGUCUGAGAGGAUGAUCAGUCACACUGGAACUGGGACACGGUCCAGACUCCUACGGGAGGCAGCAGUGGGGAAUAUUGGACAAUGGGCGAAAGCCUGAUCCAGCCAUGCCGCGUGUGUGAAGAAGGUCUUCGGAUUGUAAAGCACUUUAAGUUGGGAGGAAGGGCAGUUACCUAAUACGUAUCUGUUUUGACGUUACCGACAGAAUAAGCACCGGCUAACUCUGUG